CAUCGGGCACAGCUCGGACUCGCUGAUCCCAGAGGGAUUUUCCAGCCUCAAUAAUUCCGUGAUUCUGUGAAAUCCCUGCUGACACUGCUAGGGGAAAACCUCGCAGAGCUGCUGCCCACACACUGAUCUCGGCAGCUGCUGGGUUUGGGAGGACGGUUUUGUCCGGGGAAGGGCAGAGAGGUUCCCACCGCAGUCCCACUGACCCCGUGCCUGUGUUUCCUCCUCCUCCUCCUCCUCCUCCUCCCUCGGCGGGCGAGGAUGCCGGGACAGGAGGGGUUUCUCGGUGCCACCCACCACGCCAGCACCCAGCCACCACCACCUAGGCCGAGCACGCCGGCAUCCGGACCUACUUCUUCAGCGCCGAGAACACGGAGGAGCAGGAAUCCUGGAUCCAGGCCAUGGGCGAGGCCGCCCGCGUCCAGAUCCCCCCGACACAGAGGCACGAGAAGCCGGACUCGGAGAACAUCCCCCCCAGCAAGCACCACCACCACCACCACCACUGCAACGCCGCCCUCCGCGAGCACGCCAAGGCCGAGCCCGACGCCAAGACCCGCGGGGAGGGCGACGGCCGCGGCUCGGAGAAGAUGGAGCGGAAGCCGGCGGAGCGGGCGGA